GUGAUUGGUCAGUAUUGGUCACUACUGAUAGAGUUUGGCGGGAGAUAUUCUUUUGUAUUCUGGUUCUGUAAUUCUUUAAUUGCAACCAAGACUUCUAGCUAGACAGGUGUGUUUCAGACUGAGACAAAGCAUACAGACUCAGACCUGUCAAGUCAUAUAAUGAGCCUGAUCCGCUGAUUGAUACUACGUAUAUGCAGUGUCGUGCACCUAGUUCCAUAAAUGGGGUGAAACGAUUAAUGCGACGUAACGCUCAGAAUAUAUAAUAUAGAACCCUACAAUCGUCUUGGUGUUUUGUUUAAUUCGUCCAAGAACGGUUACAAAAAUGGCGCCCAACGUGGUUUAGGAUCAACGGCAAUCUGGUGGACGUUCCCCGCACGCCCAUUCCCGUGCAAGGACGGAAUUCCAGACGAGAAUGUACAGGCCGACGGAGACCCGCCAAAACAAUCCGUGGAGUUUCCCGCACUUUGGUGACGUCAUCUACCGGAAGGGUUUAUUCGAGGAGAUCCACAUGUGUUACUAUUCUCGUCCUCGUGUGUGUUGUGUCUUGUGUUUUGUGAAAUCUUUGUAAAUGUGUUGUGAAAUGUAUAUGUUGUGUACAUGUUCAUAAGGAAUUUAAUCAUUGAUUGGUAAGAAAUUUCUAUUGCGCACCACAAACUAGUUGUAUGUUGAAACGUUGAUAUAUAUCACGUGAUU